GGAUAACAUACCGAAAGGUAUGCUAAUACGGGAUAAUAUAUUUGAGAGGCAUCUCUUGAAUAUCAAAGGUGAGCCAGUACAGGAUGGACCCGCGUCUGAUUAGCUAGUUGGUAAGGUAAAGGCUUACCAAGGCGACGAUCAGUAGCCGACCUGAGAGGGUGAUCGGCCACAUUGGAACUGAGACACGGUCCAAACUCCUACGGGAGGCAGCAGUGGGGAAUAUUGCACAAUGGGCGAAAGCCUGAUGCAGCAACGCCGCGUGAGUGAUGAAGGCCUUCGGGUCGUAAAACUCUGUCCUCAAGGAAGAUAAUGACGGUACUUGAGGAGGAAGCCCCGGCUAACUACGUGCCAGCAGCCGCGGUAAUACGUAGGGGGCUAGCGUUAUCCGGAUUUACUGGGCGUAAAGGGUGCGUAGGCGGUCUUUCAAGUCAGGAGUGAAAGGCUACGGCUCAACCGUAGUAAGCUCUUGAAACUGGGAGACUUGAGUGCAGGAGAGGAGAGUGGAAUUCCUAGUGUAGCGGUGAAAUGCGUAGAUAUUAGGAGGAACACCAGUUGCGAAGGCGGCUCUCUGGACUGUAACUGACGCUGAGGCACGAAAGCGUGGGGAGCAAACAGGAUUAGAUACCCUGGUAGUCCACGCUGUAAACGAUGAGUAGUAGGUGUCGGGGGUUACCCCCUUCGGUGCCGCAG
rnacentral:rRNA from 1 species